CCUCCAUAUGUCCUUCUCUUGUCUUGUCAUUUCUCCUGGUCUCCAUUCAGACAAUGAAGUUAGUGCUUGGUACAUUUGCACUCAGAACUGGAAGACUCCUAUUGAUUUAAGCUUUUUCUGCUUAUGAGGACCGAACAAUGUGCUUAACAGGACAAAAAGGCUUCAUGGAGAUACAACACACAUCUUUGAAUUGAGAUGCCUUCCUCAAGAGAAUCUCAUAACAGAGGAUCCUGUUUGGGAAGCCCUUUCUGCAGAUCCUGAUGCCUUCCAGCACACCAUUACAGCGCAGCUGGUGCAUCACCAGAGGAUUCUCCAUGGCCCCAGGAGUCUUGGUCUCAUUGGGGAUGAUGCAGCGUACAAAGUGAGGCACAAAGAUAACUUGUGAAAUUCCUGCUGGCGGCCUUUGGGGGCUUGGUGGUUCAGAGGACAGCUUGGGGACAGCUUGUGACGCAAGUAGUCAGGACAGGAUUUUUUCUUUGAUCAGCAGCAACAGACUGUGGACCUCUGUGUGGAUUCUCCUCCUGAGUACUGCUUGUGUUGUGAUGAGGCAAUGACCACAACAAUUCAAAAUGAUGGAAAGGUCUGUCUUGGAGGACUCAUCACUGAAUACACCAAUUUGAGGUUAUCUGCUGUCAGUCAAACAUCUUUGUCAAGUCAGCCUCUUUUUUGUGAUCCAGAUGACCCUCCCUCAUCAGGCUUUGAAAAGAUGCUUGUCACUAAAGACUGGCCUCCACUACUGAUAUGAAGAGGAUCCUGUUUGGGAAGCCCUUUCUGCAGAUCCUGAUGCCUUCCAGCACACCGUUACAGCGCAGCUGGUGCAUCACCAGAGGAUUUUCCAUGGCCCCAGGAGUCUUGGUCUCAUUGGGGAUGAUGCAGCGUACAAAGUGAGGAUCAUCCAUGCUGCAUAACGCUCUUUGAGGUUAAACAGCACAGCAGGCUCAUGGAGGAAGCUGUCUAAAUCCCUGCGGAAAUCUUGUUUUGCAUCCCCUUCCUGGCUUUGGAGUUGUAACCAGAUUCCUCCAAGAUAUCUUUAAGCCUUGAAGGACAAGCCAUGUGAGAUCAAGGUCAACAUGCAGUGCUAGACAAGUGUCAAGCUGAUAUCCACCCCUCACUUGGCUCUCUCUGACAGUGCAAGAACUGUAGCAUCAGUCCCUCCUUUGUGCUACUGCAGAAGAAUAAGAGUUCUAGUACUUUGAAGACAAAGGAGACUACAGCCAAGGAGAUCCCAAAGGUCUUAGGUGGCCAUCUGUGAGUUUCACUCCUCCUCUAGCCCUUUCUGUGAUGAAGAAUGAUAAGAGAGUAGACAAAGAGAGACGGAUUAGGGGACCAACAAGACUCAACAAGUGUUAUACAAGGAAGUACACCAGAACUAGAUUUUGAUUAGUAAAUGUAAUAUUCAAGAUGUUUUAAGUUAGUGAUUGUGACAUUCAUUUUACAUGACAAAGGUUUAUUUUACUGUCAGCAUUCCUUUACUGUAGUAUGUUGUAUGAAUUUAAACCAUGUCGCACUUAAUGCAUUUGGAGGAAGAUGUUUUAAAAUGCAUAUAUGCUAAAGAUCCACGUUUAGUUUUAGUAACAUCUCAAGCCAUUUUUGUUGACACUGUGAAAACUGAUUCCUAGCGUGAGUUCAGUGUAAAUCAUUUAUCUUUUUUUUAAAUAAUUUAUUUGAAAUAGGUUAACAAAAAUGUUGGUAAUGCCAACAGAGCCACAACAUUAGCGUGUUCCACUCACUGCAUACGAGCAAACAAGAACAGUAGGAACUUUAAGUGAGAACGUAACACUAACCCAGUGCUCUCACAACAUCAUUUAACAUUGUUUGUUUGUUAUUUUGUUUACAUUUAUUUGAUUGGUAUGUUUAUUGAUGUCUCUGCAUUCCCCAAAAAUCACAUUGAAUUUACUAAAUAGUUCAAUAGUAUAAUAAAAAUGUUAAUUUAGGGGCACCUUGGGGACCUGGAGGUUAAGGAGCUAACCAUGAGCCAUCCCUGGUUUGAGUCUGGCCAGGGAGGUGACCUUUAUUGCAUGCCGUCCCCUUUCUCUUCUCUAUCCCCUCUUUCUGUCAUAUUUGUACUGUCAACUCACUAAUAAAGGCAUGAAAUGACCAGAAAUAAACCGUUUUUAAAAAACAA